rnacentral:rRNA from 1 species
GACGAACGCUGGCGGCGUGCUUAACACAUGCAAGUCGAACGGAAAGGCCCUGCUUUUGUGGGGUGCUCGAGUGGCGAACGGGUGAGUAACACGUGAGUAACCUGCCCUUGACUUUGGGAUAACUUCAGGAAACUGGGGCUAAUACCGGAUAGGAGCUCCUGCUGCAUGGUGGGGGUUGGAAAGUUUCGGCGGUUGGGGAUGGACUCGCGGCUUAUCAGCUUGUUGGUGGGGUAGUGGCUUACCAAGGCUUUGACGGGUAGCCGGCCUGAGAGGGUGACCGGCCACAUGGGGACUGAGAUACGGCCCAGACUCCAACGGGAGGCAGCAGUGGGGAAUAUUGCACAAGGGGCGGAGGCCUGAUGCAGCAACGCCGCGUGCGGGAUGACGGCCUUCGGGUUGUAAACCGCUUUCGCCUGUGACGAAGCGUGAGUGACGGUAAUGGGUAAAGAAGCACCGGCUAACUACGU